rnacentral:tRNA from 1 species
GCCUGGAUAGCUCGGUUGGUUAGAGUGUGGUGCUGAUAAUACCAAGGUUGUAAGUUCAAUCCCCAUAUGGGACA